AUUGAACGCUGGCGGCAGGCUUAACCCAUGCAAGUCGACCGAGUGGCGGACGGGUGAGUAAUGUCUGGGAAACUGCCUGAUGGAGGGGGAUAACUACUGGAAACGGUAGCUAAUACCGCAUACCAUCGGAUGUGCCCAGAUGGGAUUAGCUCGUAGGUGGGGUAAUCGCUCACCUAGGCCACGAUCCCUAGCUGGUCUGAGAGGAUGAACAGCCACACGGGAACGGAGACAAGGUCCAGACUCCUACGAGAGGCAGCAGUGGGGAAUAUUGCACAAUGGGCGCAAGCCUGAUGCAGCCAUGCCGCGUGUAUGAAGAAGGCCUUCGGGUUGUAAAGUACUUUCAGCGGGGAGGCGUUACCCGCAGAAGAAGCACCGGCUAAAGCCGUGCCAGCCGCCGCGGUAAUAC
rnacentral:rRNA from 1 species